CAGUAAGUAGUUUAAUAAAAUACUAAUUUUGGAGAUUAGAGAUGAGUUUUACUCUUUACUGA
rnacentral:tRNA from 2 species